rnacentral:rRNA from 2 species
CAUGCAAGUCGAACGAACUCUGGUAUUGAUUGGUGCUUGCAUCAUGAUUUACAUUUGAGUGAGUGGCGAACUGGUGAGUAACACGUGGGAAACCUGCCCAGAAGCGGGGGAUAACACCUGGAAACAGAUGCUAAUACCGCAUAACAACUUGGACCGCAUGGUCCGAGUUUGAAAGAUGGCUUCGGCUAUCACUUUUGGAUGGUCCCGCGGCGUAUUAGCUAGAUGGUGGGGUAACGGCUCACCAUGGCAAUGAUACGUAGCCGACCUGAGAGGGUAAUCGGCCACAUUGGGACUGAGACACGGCCCAAACUCCUACGGGAGGCAGCAGUAGGGAAUCUUCCACAAUGGACGAAAGUCUGAUGGAGCAACGCCGCGUGAGUGAAGAAGGGUUUCGGCUCGUAAAACUCUGUUGUUAAAGAAGAACAUAUCUGAGAGUAACUGUUCAGGUAUUGACGGUAUUUAACCAGAAAGCCACGGCUAACUACGUGCCAGCAGCCGCGGUAAUACGUAGGUGGCAAGCGUUGUCCGGAUUUAUUGGGCGUAAAGCGAGCGCAGGCGGUUUUUUAAGUCUGAUGUGAAAGCCUUCGGCUCAACCGAAGAAGUGCAUCGGAAACUGGGAAACUUGAGUGCAGAAGAGGACAGUGGAACUCCAUGUGUAGCGGUGAAAUGCGUAGAUAUAUGGAAGAACACCAGUGGCGAAGGCGGCUGUCUGGUCUGUAACUGACGCUGAGGCUCGAAAGUAUGGGUAGCAAACAGGAUUAGAUACCCUGGUAGUCCAUACCGUAAACGAUGAAUGCUAAGUGUUGGAGGGUUUCCGCCCUUCAGUGCUGCAGCUAACGCAUUAAGCAUUCCGCCUGGGGAGUACGGCCGCAAGGCUGAAACUCAAAGGAAUUGACGGGGGCCCGCACAAGCGGUGGAGCAUGUGGUUUAAUUCGAAGCUACGCGAAGAACCUUACCAGGUCUUGACAUACUAUGCAAAUCUAAGAGAUUAGACGUUCCCUUCGGGGACAUGGAUACAGGUGGUGCAUGGUUGUCGUCAGCUCGUGUCGUGAGAUGUUGGGUUAAGUCCCGCAACGAGCGCAACCCUUAUUAUCAGUUGCCAGCAUUAAGUUGGGCACUCUGGUGAGACUGCCGGUGACAAACCGGAGGAAGGUGGGGAUGACGUCAAAUCAUCAUGCCCCUUAUGACCUGGGCUACACACGUGCUACAAUGGAUGGUACAACGAGUUGCGAACUCGCGAGAGUAAGCUAAUCUCUUAAAGCCAUUCUCAGUUCGGAUUGUAGGCUGCAACUCGCCUACAUGAAGUCGGAAUCGCUAGUAAUCGCGGAUCAGCAUGCCGCGGUGAAUACGUUCCCGGGCCUUGUACACACCGCCCGUCACACCAUGAGAGUUUGUAACACCCAAAGUCGGUGGGGUAACCUUUUAGGAACCAGCCCG